rnacentral:rRNA from 1 species
CGGGUAGGAGUAACGCGUGAGGAACCUGCCUCAAAGAGGGGGACAACAGUUGGAAACGACUGCUAAUACCGCAUAAGCCACGGCUCGGCAUCGAGCAGAGGGAAAAGGAGCAAUCCGCUUUGAGAUGGCCUCGCGUCCGAUUAGCUAGUUGGUGAGGUAACGGCCCACCAAGGCGACGAUCGGUAGCCGGACUGAGAGGUUGAACGGCCACAUUGGGACUGAGACACGGCCCAG